UACGUAGGUGGCGAGCGUUAUCCGGAAUUACUGGGUGUAAAGGGCGUGUAGGCGGCACUGUAAGUCAGAUGUGAAAUCUCCCGGCUCAACCGUGAGCGUGCACUUGAUACUGCAGUACUUGAGUGAUAGAGGGGAAAGCGGAAUUCCUAGUGUAGCGGUAAAAUGCGUAGAUAUUAGGAGGAACACCAGUGGCGAAGGCGACAUUCUGGUCUGUUACUGACACUGAGGCUCGAAAGCGUGGGGAGCAAACAGG
rnacentral:rRNA from 1 species